rnacentral:rRNA from 1 species
GACGAACGCUGGCGGCGUGCUUAACACAUGCAAGUCGAACGGAAAGGCCCUGCUUUUGUUGUGUGCUCGAUUGGCGAACGUGUUAUUAACACUUUUGUAACCUGCCCUUUACUUUUUGAUAACUUCAUGAAACUGGGGCUAAUACCUGAUAGGAUCUCCUGCUGCAUGGUGUGUUUUGGAAAGUUUCGGCUGUUGGGUAUUGACUCGAGGCUUAUCAGCUUGUUGGUGGGGUAGUGGCUUACUAAGGCUUUGACGGGUAGCCGGCCUGAGAGGGUGAGCGGACAGAUUGGGAAUGAGAUAAGGCCCAGAAUGCUAGGGGAGGAAGCAGUGGGGAAUAUUGCACAAGGGGCGGAAGCCUGAUGCAGCAAGGACGCGUGCGGGAUGACGGCCUUCGGGUUGUAAAACGAUUUCGCCUGUGACGAAGAGUGAGUGACGGUAAUGGGUAAAGAAGCACCGGCUAACUACGUG